rnacentral:lncRNA from 1 species
UGGGCUGUCAAAGAGUAGAGGUAUUGGCGGCGGUUGUGGCGGCUUUUUAUGCGGUGGACGCCGUGGCGGCUUUUUAGGCGAUGGAGGUCGCGUCUUAGGUGGUGGAAGCUGUGGAGGAAGAGAGGGUGGAGGAGGGCAUGGAGAAGGAGGAGGAGGCGGAGGAGGGCAUGGAGGAGGAGGAGGAGGAGGAGGAGCGGGAGUAGGGCAAUCUGCAGGUUCCGGUUCUGGUUCCGGGGAAGGUGACGGUGGUGGAUUGCUGUCGUUACCGCCACCGAUGAUGAUCUCUAAGGAUUUUCUGUCGGUAAUGUGGU